AACAGGAUUUGAUACCCUGGUAGUCCACGCUGUAAACGAUGUCGACUUGGAGGUUGUGCCCUUGAGGCGUGGCUUCCGGAGCUAACGCGUUAAGUCGACCGCCUGGGGAGUACGGCCGCAAGGUUAAAACUCAAAUGAAUUGGCGGGGGCCCGCACAAGCGGUGGAGCAUGUGGUUUAAUUCGAUGCAACGCGAAGAACCUUACCUACUCUUGACAUCCAGAGAAUUUGCUAGAGAUAGCUUAGUGCCUUCGGGAACUCUGAGACAGGUGCUGCAUGGCUGUCGUCAGCUCGUGUUGUGAAAUGUUGGGUUAAGUCCCGCAACGAGCGCAACCCUUAUCCUUUGUUGCCAGCACGUAAUGGUGGGAACUCAAAGGAGACUGCCGGUGAUAAACCGGAGGAAGGUGGGGAUGACGUCAAGUCAUCAUGGCCCUUACGAGUAGGGCUACGCACGUGCUACAAUGGCAUAUACAAAGAGAAGCGAACUCGCGAGAGCAAGCGGACCUCAUAAAGUAUGUCGUAGUCCGGAUUGGAGUCUGCAACUCGACUCCAUGAAGUCGGAAUCGCUAGUAAUCGUAGAUCAGAAUGCUACGGUGAAUACGUUCCCGGGCCUUGUACACACCGCCCGUCACACCAUGGGAGUGGGUUGCAAAAGAAGUAGGUAGCUUAACCUUCGGGAGGGCGCUUACCACUUUGUGAUUCAUGACUGGGGUGAAGUCGUAACAAGGUAACC
rnacentral:rRNA from 1 species